UCUCCAUUAGCAAUAAGAGACCCUUCAUCUGACCUCCGGGCUACCCUGUCAAUUGUAAAAAGUAGUUGAGUCGUGUCUCGCAGGAGCAAAAAGAGUGAAAUGAGGACGUAAGCCCCCUAGGUCUUCCUCUUCCUUCUAAACUAAUUGCUUUCGCUUGACUCUUCCAGUCAAAAAGUAUACUGAGUGGUUGAAUGAAAGCGAAAAGGAAUGGCUUUUUCAUGUACCAGAUCCGGUGAGCCAAACAUCAAGCAAAAAUGGACAUGCAAUCAAAGAGUAAGGAGCAGUUAUUUGCAAUGACGGGUGGAUUGGUCAAAGCUGCAAGGAGAGACUCGGUUAUGGCGCGAUAAAGAGCUUGCUUCAAUGCUCGGAUUCAGGUAGAAAGUAAGAGCAGUAGCAUAUUCAUAGGAGAGCUUUGUACUUGAAAUUAGUAGUCCCGGUAAUUGGAAAAAAGCUCUGAAUACAGAUUCAAAGCAUCAAGAUAGGUAGUCCUAUCAUUAGUUGGUCAGUCAUAGCAAUUUAAGUAGAAAGCUUGCUUCGGGAUCAGAUCAUUCAACUAAAGCUGUCAGGCCGGGUAGGCUUUGAGGAACAUUGGGGGUUCCUUAUGUUGUGACUGAGCAGAUAUGUCUAUUGUGCCCGGCAAAAACAGAUUUGCAAGGAGUUUGCCAAAGGCUUUCUCAUUCGGAAAAAACAAUUUCAAGUAUAUUUCCCUUCUCCAUUCUCUGCUCGGAUGAUUGCCGCUUGUGUAAAUUUCAUUGUUGUGGGUCCCGUGUGUGCUCGAAUAAGAUUGUUUUAGGAUUCUAUUUAGUUGAAUUUCUUGACUCCGCGGUGCUGGUUAUCGAGUUUAUGGCGCCGCCGACCAUCCAAAAAGUCAAAGAUGGCAUCGGCAUUUACUUAUUAUGCUCUCUUCUAAUAGUGGUCCCUUGGUAUUCAGGUUGUAAAAUCCUGAUAGGAAAGUCGACUGUUAUACCUUGUUUUUGUAAUGGCCUAUCUUCUUUAAAAAGCCGAAAGAUAAGGAUUUCGCAAAACUUUUGCGUGCUACAGAUCAGCUAGUCACGCUGCUGCCAACAAACAUAAAUAUCAAGUUUUUCUUACUUGAGCAAACUCAAUAAGGACAAGCAUGUGGACUGUACAUGAUCCGAGAGAGACUCAGUCGAGCAACAUAAAUGAAAAAGGAAAAGUACCAACGUUUUGAGAAAAUGAAUUCAGUUAGUCAUACAAGAAUAUGUUCAGAAGAUAAAAAUAAUUUAGACACACCUCACGCAAAUUCUCUCAAAGAAAUUCUUCAUGACAUCUUCCGGAACCUACCUGUUCAGAAAAACAAAGUAAGAGAGCAAACAUAUGCAGCACAAUUACCAUCUCGGAACUUGUGGUGUGAAACCAUCAAAGUACAAAAAAGAUAUAAUAUAUUGUUUCCUUAUUUAUUUAAUUUUGUUCCAGAUUACAGUUGAAAUGUUUAUAAAGUACAUAUUCUUGGGUAGCAUUUCUUUCUUAUCUUGUCUGCACUAUAAACAGAUUAAGGAUUAAUAUUAUUACUGAGCUCAGAGAUCGAUCAACAAGUUGUAUGCUCUAAUUUACAAAAGAACUAUGUGCAUUUACUUACUAGAGGAAGAAACCAAGGUCAAAAGGCAAAACGGCAGUCUUCAUAUCGUGCAUCAAGCAUAACUAUAUUGCCUUAUGAACUGAAGUAAAAAAUAGAAUUAACAAGCAACAGUACUAACAACCAACAAACAGUGACGAGACUAUUGCUCUUGCGAAAAUGUUUAUCCCAACAAAGGAUCGCGAACUUGCUAGAUACACUAACUGAGGUUCAUUCCCUUUGCUUGAGGAACUGUCUUAGGAACAACUUCAGAGUAGGUCGAUUGAAACUUAGAAGAAAUGGAGAUACACAUGUUAACUAAUAAACUGACAUUUGUCAUUUUGUGAUUGAAAUUAACUAUGAAUAAGGACUCUGGAACAUGAACAUACAGUUGUGUGGUCGAAGUGCGAGGAAUGUUGUUGCUGGCAGAAGAGCAAUCAUGAAAAUCAGCGCAAAUAUGCUCAGGGUGAUUUCGAUGGGCACUAACUUGCUACAGCGGGUGCACCAUUUAGCUGGCACAAUAUUGAAUUUGCUAUUUUUUUCUCAAAAUAGAACUUUGCGAAUAGUACGACACUAUAGAAUCAACUAAAGCUCAACAACAUUAUUGAUGCAUGUACAUCUAUUAAUUAGACCAAUAAUGCUUCCAUAAAGAAUAAUUAAUCUUUACAACCCUUUCACUUGUGGUCAUUUUACCAAGAUAAUAGUAAUUCUAAAACAUACAAAUACCAGUU
rnacentral:lncRNA from 1 species